CCCAUAUAUACCUAAGUUGCGCAACAAUGGAAAUUGGCCGCCAUUUUCGAUCAACAUCGCCUGCGAGGUUACGGCGGUUCUGCGUGAUCCGCGGCUAGGCUGGUGCUUUCUGCUAUAGAAUUAAAGGCCGUUCGGCUCUUAAUUGCAGCGGGAAUAGCAAAACAGUGCAACUAUUGAAGCUAUCAUCAGAUGCAGAGAAUGAGGAAAUGGGAAAAUAAUUGUAGGCGACGUAAAGGCUGGAAAUCUGGCCCAGGCAGUUCCUUGUGUGAGACGCAUUUUUGAAGAAUACCAAUUUGAUCCGAAGAGUACGGAUAAAUGGAAAAAAUCUAAAUAAAAGGGGAUGACAAUAUUCGAUGUGCCAAAUCCACCAAAUAAUUCAAAUCAUCAAGACCUGAAUUAACUAAAAUAUUGACUGAGAUGAAGUUUCAAAAAAUAACAAUAGCCCUACAGUGAGUUGUGAAUGCCAAAGUAAACUCUAAUUGCCAGUUUGAAUGUUUGUAAAUCAUUUCUGAACGUUUUAGGUUUGAUUGAAACAUCCGACUCCAGGACGAACCAGUUGUGUCAUAAACUUAUAAUGUUGGGUCAUAUAAAAAAACACAAAAAUGUGAAAAUUGGGGAGGGGGGGGGGAUUUCCCUCUAUUCGUUUUUUGCGAUAUGAAACAACAUAACACUUUCAUUAUAACACGGGGGUGCCAUUUUUUGCGUUUUUAAUCAUCCACUCAUAUGUAGUCGCCAUCGCUUGGCUGACAUGGGCAGUCCAAAGCUCGUAAUGGAACUAAGAUGAGGAAGGUCAGAAUAAAAUAUGGGCCUAACCGUCACUUGGUACACAUACUGCUGAAGUUUCAAUUAUUGUACCUUUUUCCUGUCUUUGUUAUUUAAUUGUUGAAAUUUCUAUUGUUGGUCAAUCGAAUAGCACUUCUUUUCUAUGUCUUUCAUAUUAAGGUAUUUACAUACUAUUCUUGAUCAAUUAAAUGGUCCAUUUCUCAUGUCUUUGUUAUUUGAUAAGUAUUAUUUCUUUUUAUUGGUUAAUCAAAUUAUUUCCAAAUUGAUCUGGACUAUUAGUUUAUUUGUAAUGGUUUCAUGAAUCAUACUGUAACACCAAAGAUUUAAAUAAAAAUGUUCACUAUUCCUAUGAUGAUCAUUGCUCGGUUUGUUUUGUAGACACGAUUUCCAAGAUGUGAAUUAUUGAAUUUUCCUAUUGAUUGAUCCUUUGUGUGAGUCAGAAACAUUCUCAAAACCCCACCUGCUAAACCUCAUUGAUAAGUACAUUAUAAUUAUUAACAUUUUUGGAGUGCAAGUUCGUAAAAAUUCAAAACAUAUAUAAAAAGUUCAUGCAUUUUUUAAACAUUUUCAGAUUUUGACAAACCUAUGAAUAGAAUUCCUCUUGACCUUUCCAGUGUGUUACUUUUUUUAAUACUGUGUAAUGUGUAUGUCCACUGAGUUGCACUUUAUUUUAUUUAUUAUUUUUCACGUUCAGACACAUUCUCAUCACAUUUAUUUUUUUGUCCCUGAUCCACUUUGUAUAUAUAGCCAAUUUUUUUUUUUUUUUCUGAUUAUUAUCGUCCAAACCCCAUUGAAUUUAGUUAUCAGUUAAGUAUAAUUUUCCAUCACAUCCCCUCAUUUUGUUCACAAAUUUAUUGUAAAAAUAUUAUCGUAAUAGUUCAAGUUUUGCCACUAGU